UCUCCCCACCAGUGCGACGCUCACAAGCGUUACACUUCCCUAACGUUUGUUUUCUGUCUUCCUGAUCGUAACGCCUGCUACUGUCAUUUAGCCACGCGGUUCUAUUGUUAAACGCGACUAGAAUUGUGCAUAUUUUACAUUGUCUUUUCCCCAGGUGUUCUAAAUAAAUUGGUCCCCUCGUAAUCUGAUCGCUAGAUUGCGACUGGACUGCUUAAUACAGUCAAACUCGGGUUUUAGUCCCGUCGGCUGCGCCGAUACAGUUCCCUCUCUCGCUACUCCUGUCUCGCUCCACUGUUCUGGCAGAUCGUCCGGGGAAAACCACACUACCAGCGACGAAUCAUUUCGGUUUUCCGCCAGUUUGCUGUCGUCGACGCUGUCGUGAAGUGACGGAAAUAGUAAACGGACCUGCAAUGGAUCUUUAAAGAAACGAGAAAGCGCUCCAAACAGCUCUAGCAACCCGCGGAUUAAUAUUACUGUUAUCACUGCCCUUGUCUCGCGGUUGCAAGGAAGCUGUAGUUCAUUGUCCCUCCGGAACAAUGUUUGGCUGGGGCAAAUUUGCUGCAGUGUUGCGAAGUGCGGACGGACACCUUGUUCCCGUUUUGUUUCGAUUCCUUUCGUAUCGCACGGGAAGUA